rnacentral:lncRNA from 1 species
GGUUCAUGUGUUUCCUAUUAACCUGGGAUCUGAGCAACGCCCAUCACUUCAUCUAACACCUUGUGAGUGGUGGCCAGGGAUCUGAUGUUUUGUGAAACAAUGCUCCUCACAGCUGAUGAACCAGAAGGGAAAAUCUGCUGCUGGGACUCUUGGGAUCCCUCAUGGAAGAGCUAAAUCGGCUAUUUAG